rnacentral:sRNA from 1 species
CUCUUCGUAAUAUGUGAACUUUUUUAUUACGGUAAAGAAAUUCCAUAUUGUUAACUUUAUUUUUUGGAGGUUUUCUCAAAUGAAACAAGGUACAGUAAAAUGGUUUAACUCAGAAAAAGGCUUCGGAUUCAUCGAAGUAGAAGGCGAAAACGACGUAUUCGUACACUUCUCAGCAAUCCAAGGCGAAGGUUUCAAAACUCUUGACGAAGGUCAAAAAGUUGAGUUCGAAGUUGUAGACGGCAACCGCGGACCACAAGCUGCUAACGUAAUUAAACUUUAAUUCUCCGUAAUUAAACAUUAACUAUGUUAAAUCCAAAGGCACCCUACAAUACGUAGGGUGCCUUUUU